GCACAUAAGCCACGAGGAGGAGCUUUACGACUUCCCGGUCUUCGGCGCCGGGCGCAGCAAGGGCCAGACUCUGCGCUAGCAGGCGCUGCGCGCCAACCGGCCGGCACCUGUCGCAGAAGGUGCAACCGAUCGCACUGUCGCGCAGAAGCUCCUCAAUGGCCAGCGCCAGCUGCAGCCCCGGCCGCCCACUCGCCUCAUCUGAGCCUGGCAGAAGGUAAGCAUGAGCAAAUUACUUUUUAGAGGUAACUUUGCUGAACUUGUGAAGAAUGGUGUGCAAGGUCCAGAGCGACUGCAGGAGAGGGAAGGUGGGAUUCCCACAGAGCAGGAGCACAGAUAAGCCAAGCAAGGCCCUGCUUGGAAGGCAGCAAUCAACAGAGAUGCACAGACCUGUGAGGGUGCCGGGACAGCCAUGCAACAAUGCAGCCCUUUUGCUUCCUGAGCUCACCAGUUCCCUCGCUCCACCUCUGAGAGGUGGUUUGGAGAAACACAGCCCUUCUCAAGAGGGCUGCAAGCUACUUAAGUCCUGAAAAUUUCCACAAGGCUGAGUCAAAUCUGCGUUUCAUCAUCUAUAAGAAAGGUACCUAUCGAGAACACCCUGCUGGCCAGUGUGUA
rnacentral:lncRNA from 1 species